AUGGUUGUUCUAACAAGUCUGAUACACUCAUGAUAUAACAAGAAUGUUACAUGGUUGAUGACACAAGGUUGUAACAAUUAUAUUGUACGUUAUAUCAUGACUGUAUCAGACUUGUUGGAACAACCAU